rnacentral:rRNA from 1 species
AUUGAACGCUGGCGGCAGGCCUAACACAUGCAAGUCGAACGAGUGGCGGACGGGUGAGUAAUGUCUGGGAAACUGCCCGAUGGAGGGGGAUAACUACUGGAAACGGUAGCUAAUACCGCAUACCAUCGGAUGUGCCCAGAUGGGAUUCGCUAGUGGGUGGGGUAAUGGCUCACCUAGGUGACGAUACCUAGCUGGUCUGAGAGGAGGACCAGCCACACUGGAACGGAGACACGUGCCAGACUCCUACGGGAGGCAGCAGUGGGGAAUAUUGCAUAAUGGGCGCAAGCCUGAUGCAGCCAUGCCGCGGGUAUGAAGAAGGCCUUCGGGUUGUAAAGUACUUUCAGCGAGGAGGCGUUACUCGCAGAAGAAGCACCGGCUAACUCCGUGCCAGCAGCCGCGGUAAUUC